UACGAAGGGGGCUAGCGUUGCUCGGAAUCACUGGGCGUAAAGCGCACGUAGGCGGAUUGUUAAGUCAGGGGUGAAAUCCUGGAGCUCAACUCCAGAACUGCCUUUGAUACUGGCGAUCUCGAGUCCGGGAGAGGUGAGUGGAACUGCGAGUGUAGAGGUGAAAUUCGUAGAUAUUCGCAAGAACACCAGUGGCGGAAGGCGGACUC
rnacentral:rRNA from 1 species